GAUGAACGCUGGCGGCGUGCUUAACACAUGCAAGUCGAACGAAGCACUUUAUUUGAUUUCCUUCGGGACUGAUUAUUUUGUGACUGAGUGGCGGACGGGUGAGUAACGCGUGGGUAACCUGCCUUGUACAGGGGGAUAACAGUUGGAAACGGCUGCUAAUACCGCAUAAGCGCACGGCAUCGCAUGAUGCAGUGGGAAAAACUCCGGUGGUAUAAGAUGGACCCGCGUUGGAUUAGCUAGUUGGUGAGGUAACGGCCCACCAAGGCGACGAUCCAUAGCCGACCUGAGAGGGUGACCGGCCACAUUGGGACUGAGACACGGCCCAAACUCCUACGGGAGGCAGCAGUGGGGAAUAUUGCACAAUGGGCGAAAGCCUGAUGCAGCGACGCCGCGUGAGCGAAGAAGUAUUUCGGUAUGUAAAGCUCUAUCAGCAGGGAAGAUAAUGACGGUACCUGACUAAGAAGCACCGGCUAAAUACGUG
rnacentral:rRNA from 1 species